rnacentral:rRNA from 1 species
UACGGGGGGGGGCAAGCGUUGUUCGGAAUUACUGGGCGUAAAGGGCUCGUAGGCGGCCAACUAAGUCAGACGUGAAAUCCCUCGGCUUAACCGGGGAACUGCGUCUGAUACUGGAUGGCUGGAGUUUGGGAGAGGGAUGCGGAAUUCCAGGUGUAGCGGUGAAAUGCGUAGAUAUUGGGAGGAACACCAGUGGCGAAGGCGGCUCACUGGACCGGAACUGACGCUGAGGCGCGAAAGCGUGGGGAGCAAACGGG